rnacentral:rRNA from 1 species
UACGUAGGGGGCUAGCGUUGUCCGGAAUCAUUGGGCGUAAAGAGCGUGUAGGCGGUCCGGUAAGUCCGCUGUGAAAGUCGGGGGCUCAACCCUCGAAUGCCGGUGGAUACUGUCGGGCUAGAGUACGGAAGAGGCGAGUGGAAUUCCUGGUGUAGCGGUGAAAUGCGCAGAUAUCAGGAGGAACACCUAUUGCGAAGGCGGCUCGCUGGGACGUAACUGACGCUGAGACGCGAAAGCGUGGGGAGCAAACAGG